AGAGUUUGAUCCUGGCUCAGAAUCAACGCUGGCGGCGCGCUUAACACAUGCAAGUCGAACGAGAAAGCGGGGGCAACCUCGUGAGUAAAGUGGCGUCCGGGUGAGUAACACGUGGGUAAUCUACCCUUUGGUGGGGAAUAACCCUGGGAAACCGGGGCUAAUACCGCAUAAUCCCGAGAGGGCAAAGGAGCAAUUCGCCGAAGGAGGAGCCCGCGGCCGAUUAGCUAGUUGGUAGGGUAAAAGCCUACCAAGGCGACGAUCGGUAGCCGGCCUGAGAGGGCACACGGCCACACUGGCACUGAAACACGGGCCAGACUCCUACGGGAGGCAGCAGUGGGGAAUCUUGCACAAUGGGGGAAACCCUGAUGCAGCGACGCCGCGUGAGCGAUGAAGCCCUUCGGGGUGUAAAGCUCUUUCGGCAGGGAAGAUUAUGACGGUACCUGCAGAAGCAGCUGCGGCUAACUACGUGCCAGCAGCCGCGGUAAUACGUAGGCAGCGAGCGUUGUUCGGAAUUACUGGGCGUAAAGGGUGUGUAGGCGGUUCUCUAAGUUCGGUGUGAAAUCUCCCGGCUCAACUGGGAGGGUGCGCCGAGGACUGGAGGACUAGAGUGCGGGAAAGGAGAGUGGAAUUCCUGGUGUAGCGGUGAAAUGCGUAGAGAUCAGGAGGAACACCGGCGGUGUAAACGGCUCUCUGGACCGUAACUGACGCUGAAACACGAAAGCGUGGGGAGCAAACAGGAUUAGAUACCCUGGUAGUCCACGCCCUAAACGAUGCACACUUGGUGUGAGUCAUUCAUUUGAUUCGUGCCGGAGCUAACGCGUUAAGUGUGCCGCCUGGGGAGUACGGUCGCAAGGCUGAAACUUAAAUGAAUUGACGG
rnacentral:rRNA from 1 species